UACAGAGGUCUCGAGCGUUGUUCGGAUUCAUUGGGCGUAAAGGGCGCGUAGGCGGUUAGUUAAGUUAGAUGUGAAAUCCCUGGGCUUAACCUAGGAACUGCAUCUGAUACUGGCUAGCUAGAGUGCAGUAGAGGGUAGUGGAAUUUCCGGUGUAGCGGUGAAAUGCGUAGAUAUCGGAAGGAACACCAGUGGCGAAGGCGGCUACCUGGACUGACACUGACGCUGAGGCGCGAGAGCGUGGGGAGCAAACAGG
rnacentral:rRNA from 1 species